GAUGAACGCUGGCGGCGUGCCUAAUACAUGCAAGUCGAGCGAACAGAUGAGGAGCUUGCUCCUUUGACGUUAGCGGCGGACGGGUGAGUAACACGUGGGUAACCUACCUAUAAGACUGGGAUAACUCCGGGAAACCGGGGCUAAUGCCGGAUAACAUUUAGAACCGCAUGGUUCUAAAGUGAAAGAUGGUUUUGCUAUCACUUAUAGAUGGACCCGCGCCGUAUUAGCUAGUUGGUAAGGUAACGGCUUACCAAGGCAACGAUACGUAGCCGACCUGAGAGGGUGAUCGGCCACACUGGAACUGAGACACGGUCCAGACUCCUACGGGAGGCAGCAGUAGGGAAUCUUCCGCAAUGGGCGAAAGCCUGACGGAGCAACGCCGUGUGAGUGAUGAAGGUCUUCGGAUCGUAAAACUCUGUUAUUAGGGAAGAACAAAUGUGUAAGUAACUGUGCACGUCUUGACGGUACCUAAUCAGAAAGCCACGGCUAACUACGUG
rnacentral:rRNA from 1 species